UCCCUGGUGGACUAGUGGUUAGCAUGCAUCACUCUGCUUGCCGUGGUCUGGGUUCGAUUCCCGGUCAGGGAA